AUUGAACGCUGGCGGCAGGCCUAACACAUGCAAGUCGAACGAGUGGCGGACGGGUGAGUAAUGUCUGGGAAACUGCCUGAUGGAGGGGGAUAACUACUGGAAACGGUAGCUAAUACCGCAUACCAUCGGAUGUGCCCAGAUGGGAUUAGCUCGUAGGUGGGGUAAAGGCUCACCUAGGCGACGAUCCCUAGCUGGUCUGAGAGGAUGACCCGCCAACCUUGAACUUAGACCCGGUCCAGACUCCUGCGGGAGGAAGCAAGGGGGAAUAUUGCACAAUGGGCCCAAGCCUGAUGUAGCCAUGCCGGGUGUAUGAAGAAGGCCGUCGGGUUGUAAAGUAAGUUCAGCGGGGAGGCGUUACCCGCCGAAGAAGCACCGGCUAACUACGUGCCAGCAGCCGCGGUAAUUC
rnacentral:rRNA from 1 species